GUUUUAGUGGCAGAGUAAAUGCAUGGUGUUUAAGCCGCCAAAAUAGGAUUAUCCUCUAUU
rnacentral:tRNA from 1 species